UGGACAAGAGCUCGAGAUACCGAAGGCUGUCACGCUGACCCUCUGCCCUCACUAAAAGGCCACUGAGCUGUUAAACACUUAAGCUAUCUGUGGAUGGCAAAGCUAAAACAGCACUGCCUAUAAUACUCCUUUUGGUGUUUUGAGGAGUCAUAUGUACUCCCAUAGAUGCUGCCACGGGGCCUGCAUGAAGUUUUGCUCCUGUUGCCACCCAGAAUCACUCGCCCCAGCUCCUGCACCCACUCAGCUGUGUUCGCCCUCCUGCGAGGAGUAGAGUGUGGUGGGUCCGAGCUAGUGAAGCCGGCUGAAGCAACCGGCUAGCUCCAGUGCCUGCAUUUCAGUUUCUGCCUGCAAAGCAGUCAGGAAAAUUGUCCUGCUUCAAAACUAAACGUAUGGAUAUUAAACCCAGGCUGAGGUAACUCCAUGUGACUGGCUAAAAAAAACAAAAACAAAAAAAAUUUAUUUAAAGAUAAUUGCUUAAUCUAGAUCACAGGUAUAUCUGAGAUUUUCAUGGAUGAAAAUUCCUACUGAUUUGAUAUCCAUAGGCAAUUUUUUUUAAACACGUGACACAAUUCACCUAUGUGUGGUAACAUUAUGAGAAAACAGCUGAAAAUUCAGAUUAUGAAGACUUUAUUCUUAAAACAUGUGAAAUAAAUAAAUAAAUAAAUAAAUAAUUGGACUACAUGAGCUGAUACUCAUGUAGUUGGUGUUGGAACAUCAGUUGUGAAAUAUCAGUUGUGAACAAUAAUCUUGUGUAGCGUUUGGGGAAAGCUCCACUGGAAAAAUCUCAACACAUUUCUUUAGGUUUACAAAGAAAGGCCAUGGCAUCUACAGAGAAUAAUUAUACGCCAUUUGAAAACCAAUUCCUGAAUUUCUAUUAGGCUCUGAUAAAGAUGGAAUUCCUUAGUAUUAGACACUAGUUGCCCGUGUAUCCAGAACUGCUCAUUAUGACCUCAGCACUUUCAGAACUUCAAAGACUUAGUGCUCAGGGGAUAUAAAAAUAAUGCAUUGUAUGCCGGAAGGGAUAAAUCUGGGGCUGAGUACAAGCAAAACAAGACCAAAGGAAGCUACCUGAGCAGGUAUUCCAGAUACUCAUGUCAUACACCAAGGUUGUACCAGUGCCCCUUUCUCUGUGACACAUCCAUCCACUGGAAACUUUCGUACAACUAGCUGAAAGAAGAGAAACAUCCUAUUUCAUGUCACUGGAGCCCUAAUGAUCGCAGCCAUUUCAGGAAAUGCCAUCAAUUACAGUGAGGAGCUCAUUCAGAAGUGAAAGAUGAGUUCCAUUCUCUGUUACUUAGAGGUAUUACAAAGCUCAAAUCUGAGAAAACCUUGUCUACCAUCAACCCUGACCUACAGAGGAGAGGCACCCCCAAGCUUAUUAGUGAUCCUGUCUCCGUCUUAUUGGCACAUCCUGAUGGCCUUGAUCUCUAGUUCUUCCUGUGGAGCAUAACCAUAUGGUUCUUUGCCAAGAUGUUAAGACCAAAGUCGGAGAGUGAACCCCAUGUCAAUGAAUUCUUGUUUUUCUGAUCUUACAUUCCAUCACUUUGAUCCAGUACUCUCAAAAUGCAAUCACAGUUGUACAUGUCUUCUCCUGUCAAUAAACGCUACCUUAGUACUGCAGUUCCUUAAGUGUGUUGUUUCUUUCUUUUCUUAUCAGGCCCAGAACACACUUAACGUAGAUCAUGGUAACUUUCAACUCUAGUUUUCAACCUAGUAGGAAGGAGAAAUGGGACUGUGUAGUAUUUUAAAGUUUUAUAGUCUUUUUCUUUCUUUUUUUUUUUUUUUAGACAGAGUCUUGCUAUGUAAUCCAGGAUGGAGUGCAGUGGUCAGUGGUGCAAUCACAGAUUACUGCAACCUCUGCCUCCCAGGUUCAAGUGAUCCUUUCACCUCAGUCUCCUGAGUAGCUGGUACUACAGCAUACAUCACCACGCCCAGCAAAGUUUUGUAGUUUUUAGUAGUGAUAGGGUUUCAUCAUGUUGCCCAGGUUAGUCUCCAACUCCUGGGCUUAAGUGAUUCACCCACAUAGGCCUCCCCAAAUGCUGGGAUUACAGGUGCAAGUCACUCUACCCAGGCUGGGUCUUAUAGUCUAAUAAAGGAGUGAAAGAACUAGUUUACUGCACAAAAGUGAACUAUUUCUCCAAGCUCUGCCAGUUCAAGGGUGUCUAUAAGUCAUCAUCUACAUGGACACUUGUCUAGAUAUUCCCAUCCCAAGCUUCAGAGUCCCAGAUUGUCUUAACCAGGGCCUUGAUUUUAGCACAAAAACACCUGUCUUGAAGGACUUUCAGAUGUCUCUGAAGUUAUGCAAAUAUAAUUAUCAAAUUUUCAAUUUGCU
rnacentral:lncRNA from 1 species